GAGGAUCCUGGUUCAGAGGGGCCAGGUUCAUCCAUUGUUGGUUGGGGAAACUGGUGAAGGUGUUGGCUCAGAGGAAGGAAGUCUUCCCAUGGGUCUUGCGAGUCCUGGUAAAGGAAGUCAGUGUAAUCUGGACGUCUUCUUUAAUGAUGAUACCAGUGGACUUAGGUUUAGAUAUGGCAGAUGGAGUGGGGAUCAUGAGGAUGUCAUGUUGUGGACCUAAGGAGGUGUGGGAGAUAUCUUUAAGUGUCAGAGGUUGGUGGUUUAAUUGACAAAGGUAAUUAUGCAGGACAUCUUGUAUGUCAUUUUCAAUCACAGCUAUAUGUGGUGCAGUGAACCAUUCAUAUACCUGAUCUUGAGUCCAAAAGAG
rnacentral:lncRNA from 1 species